GACGAACGCUGGCGGCGUGCUUAACACAUGCAAGUCGAACGGAAAGGCCCUGCUUUUGUGGGGUGCUCGAGUGGCGAACGGGUGAGUAACACGUGAGUAACCUGCCCUUGACUUUGGGAUAACUUCAGGAAACUGGGGGUAAUACCGGAUAGGAGCUCCUGCUGCAUGGUGGGGGUUGGAAAGUUUCGGCGGUUGGGGAUGGACUCGCGGCUUAUCAGCUUGUUGGUGGGGUAGUGGCUUACCAAGGCUUUGACGGGUAGCCGGCCUGAGAGGGUGACCGGCCACAUUGGGACUGAGAUACGGCCCAGACUCCUACGGGAGGCAGCAGUGGGGAAUAUUGCACAAUGGGCGGAAGCCUGAUGCAGCAACGCCGCGUGCGGGAUGACGGCCUUCGGGUUGUAAACCGCUUUCGCCUGUGACGAAGCGUGAGUGACGGUAAUGGGUAAAGAAGCACCGGCUAACUACGUG
rnacentral:rRNA from 1 species